rnacentral:rRNA from 1 species
AUUGAACGCUGGCGGCAUGCUUUACACAUGCAAGUCGAGCGGCAGCGCGGGGGCAACCCUGGCGGCGAGCGGCGAACGGGUGAGUAAUGCAUCGGAACGUAUCCUCGAGUGGGGGAUAACCCAGCGAAAGUUGGGCUAAUACCGCAUGAGCUCUGAGGAGGAAAGCGGGGGACCUGCGAGGGCCUCGCGCUGGAGGAGCGGCCGAUGUCCGAUUAGCUAGUUGGUGGGGUAAAGGCUUACCAAGGCGACGAUCGGUAGCUGGUCUGAGAGGAUGAUCAGCCACACUGGAACUGAGACACGGCCCAGACUCCUACGGGAGGCAGCAGGGGGGAAUUUUGGACAAUGGGGGCAACCCUGAUCCAGCCAUGCCGCGUGAGUGAAGAAGGCCUGCGGGUUGUAAAGCUCUUUCGGACGGAACGAAAUGGGCGGGACUAAUACUCCUGUCUGAUGACGGUACCGUAAGAAGAAGCACCGGCUAACUACGU